AUUGACGUGAGUGGUGGACGGGUGAGUAACACGUGGGUAACCUGCCCUUAAGCGGGGGAUAACAUUUGGAAACAGAUGCUAAUACCGUAUAAAAGUUGAGAUCACAUGGUCUUAAUUUGAAAGACGGCCUUUGGCUGUCACUUAAGGAUGGACCCGCGGCGUAUUAGCUAGUUGGGGAGAUAACAGCCCACCAAGGCGACGAUACGUACCCGACCUGACAGGGCAAUCUGGCACAUUGGGACUGAUACAUUGCCCAAACUCCUACGGGAGGCAGCAGUAGGGAAUCUUCCACAAUGGACGAAAGUCUGAUGGAGCAACGCCGCGUGAGUGAAGAAGGUUUUCGGAUCGUAAAACUCUGUUGUUGGAGAAGAACAGGGACUAGAGUAACUGUUAGUCCUUUGACGGUAUCCAACCAGAAAGCCACGGCUAACUACGUGCCAGCAGCCGCGGUAAUACGUAGGUGGCAAGCGUUGUCCGGAUUUAUUGGGCGUAAAGCGAGCGCAGGCGGUUUCUUAAGUCUGAUGUGAAAGCCUUCGGCUUAACCGAAGAAGUGCAUCAGAUACUGGGAAACUUGAGUGCAGAAGAGGAAAGUGGAACUCCAUGUGUAGCGGUGAAAUGCGUAGAUAUAUGGAAGAACACCAGUGGCGAAGGCGGCUUUCUGGUCUGUAACUGACGCUGAGGCUCGAAAGUAUGGGGAGCGAACAGGAUUAGAUACCCUGGUAGUCCAUACCGUAAACGAUGAAUGCUAAGUGUUGGAGGGUUUCCGCCCUUCAGUGCUGCAGCUAACGCAUUAAGCAUUCCGCCUGGGGAGUACGACCGCAAGGUUGAAACUCAAAGGAAUUGACGGGGGCCCGCACAAGCGGUGGAGCAUGUGGUUUAAUUCGAAGCUACGCGAAGAACCUUACCAGGUCUUGACAUCUAGCGCCAAUCCUAGAGAUAGGACGUUCCCUUCGGGGACGCUAAGACAGGUGGUGCAUGGUUGUCGUCAGCUCGUGUCGUGAGAUGUUGGGUUAAGUCCCGCAACGAGCGCAACCCUUAUGAUUAGUUGCCAGCAUUUAGUUGGGCACUCAAAGCAGACUGCCGGUGACAAACCGGAGGAAGG
rnacentral:rRNA from 1 species